GGGUUGUGAGGUUAAGCGACUAAGCGUACACGGUGGAUGCCCUGGCAGUCAGAGGCGAUGAAGGACGUGCUAAUCUGCGAAAAGCGUCGGUAAGGUGAUAUGAACCGUUAUAACCGGCGAUGUCCGAAUGGGGAAACCCAGUGUGAUUCGUCACACUAUCGUUAACUGAAUACAUAGGUUAACGAGGCGAACCGGGGGAACUGAAACAUCUAAGUACCCCGAGGAAAAGAAAUCAACCGAGAUUCCCCCAGUAGCGGCGAGCGAACGGGGAGCAGCCCAGAGUCUGAAUCAGCUUGUGUGUUAGUGGAACGGUCUGGAAAGUCCGACGGUACAGGGUGAUAGUCCCGUACACCAAAAUGCACAGGCUGUGAACUCGAAGAGUAGGGCGGGACACGUGGUAUCCUGUCUGAAUAUGGGGGGACCAUCCUCCAAGGCUAAAUACUCCUGACUGACCGAUAGUGAACCAGUACCGUGAGGGAAAGGCGAAAAGAACCCCGGCGAGGGGAGUGA
rnacentral:rRNA from 1 species